ACGCUCGACACCUACGGGAGGCAGCAGUGGGGAAUAUUGCACAAUGGGGGAAACCCUGAUGCAGCGACGCCGCGUGGAGGAAGAAGGUCUUCGGAUUGUAAACUCCUGUUGGUUAGGGGAAAAAGAGGAUGGUACCCAACAAGGAAGUGACGGCUAACUACGUGCUAGCAGCCGCGGUAAUCUGAGCGGGCUGGCAAGGC
rnacentral:rRNA from 1 species